AGGUUUUGCUGGGAAAUACUAGUUUUGAAAAUUGGUUAGAAGUGUUCGAUUCACUUAAAAACUU
rnacentral:tRNA from 1 species